rnacentral:rRNA from 1 species
UGGGGAAUUUUGGACAAUGGGGGAAACCCUGAUCCAGCCAUCCCGCGUGUGCGAUGAAGGCCUUCGGGUUGUAAAGCACUUUUGGCAGGAAAGAAACGUCGCGGGUUAAUACCCCGCGAAACUGACGGUACCUGCAGAAUAAGCACCGGCUAACUACGUGCCAGCAGCCGCGGUAAUACGUAGGGUGCAAGCGUUAAUCGGAAUUACUGGGCGUAAAGCGUGCGCAGGCGGUUCGGAAAGAAAGAUGUGAAAUCCCAGAGCUUAACUUUGGAACUGCAUUUUUAACUACCGGGCUAGAGUGUGUCAGAGGGAGGUGGAAUUCCGCGUGUAGCAGUAAAUGCGUAGAUAUGCGGAGGAACACCGAUGGCGAAGGCAGCCUCCUGGGAUAACACUGACGCUCAUGCACGAAAGCGUGGGGAGCAAACAGGAUUAGAUACCCUGGUAGUCCACGCCCUAAACGAUGUCAACUAGCUGUUGGGGCCUUCGGGCCUUGGUAGCGCAGCUAACGCGUGAAGUUGACCGCCUGGGGAGUACGGUCGCAAGAUUAAAACUCAAAUGAAUU